rnacentral:rRNA from 1 species
UUGAACGCUGGCGGCAUGCUUUACACAUGCCCGUCGAACGGUAACAGGCCUUCGGGUGCUGACGAGUGGCGACCGGGUGAGUAAUGCAUCGGAACGUACCCAGAGGUGGGGGAUAACGCAGCGAAAGCUGUGCUAAUACCGCAUGUGAUCUGAGGAUGAAAGCGGGGGACCGAGCAGCAAUGUUUGGCCUCGCGCCUUUGGAGCGGCCGAUGUCGGAUUAGCUAGUUGGUGGGGUAAAGGCCUACCAAGGCGACGAUCCGUAGCUGGUCUGAGAGGACGACCAGCCACACUGGGACUGAGACACGGCCCAGACUCCUACGGGAGGCAGCAGUGGGGAAUUUUGGACAAUGGGCGCAAGCCUGAUCCAGCAAUGCCGCGUGCGGGAAGAAGGCCUUCGGGUUGUAAACCGCUUUUGGCAGGAACGAAACGGUGUCCGCUAAUACCGGGCGCUAAUGACGGUACCUGCAGAAUAAGCACCGGCUAACUACGUG